CCUCUUUCUAUCACUACCAACAUCGUUAUCAUCUUCAUCAGAACCAAACCUUCGUUGUCAUCGAAGAAGAAAUGAAUCCUCAUUACGAACUGUUUCUCCAUUUUUAUUUCACUUUUAUGAAGUAAACCCUAGAUUCAGAUUCUUUUUUUCUUCCACUUCAAAAUCUUUAACCUGAUUCACCAUGUUAUAAUCUGGAUUACCCAUAGCAUGUUUUUAUUCUCAAAUCAUCUACGAUUUACAAAUUUUCGACCAAAUGAGGGAAAUCAGAGUUAAUCGAUUGCAAGUGUUUUUCUCUGUUCUGUGGGUGUCGUUGGCACGAGAUUUCCCCCAAAAAUCCCUUCUCUUUUUUCAGAAGAUUUCUUUAGAAACCCACUUGGGGAGAGAUAUGAUAGGUAGAGAAAGAACUGGUACUUGGAUAAAAUCAUGAAAUUUAAUGAGGCACAUGGAACCAGGAUCAGAUGAUCAAGUUAGGCAGGCUCUCUGAAUCCGACAAGGGAAUUGGGGAGUGUUUUGGAUGAAUAAUCAAGGAAAUAGGGUUUGGAUCAUUGUGGAGAGGAAACACAGCCAAUGUCAUCCGUUACUUCCCUACUCAGGUUGGAUCAUAUGUGUUGUCAAUCCAAAGAGUAAAAGGAGGCAGAUUUCAUCUACUCAAUUUAUGAGAGGAAUUCAUCCUCCUGCUGCAGAUUAUCUAAGCUCCAAAGAGAAAUCAAAUAUCUAAAGGAUGCAACUUAAUGGAGAAGAGGAACCACUUGAAAAUGGAGGUAGAAGAGAACGGAGAGCAGCGAAACCCAGGAAGAAGAGGCUGUUGAGGUCGAAGCUGAUUCUACAGAUGGCGUUGUACUUGUAAACAGUAUUGAAGCUGAAGAAGAGUGGGGUACGACUAAAGAAGGAAACUUAUCAUCCUAAAAGCUAUUGGUUUGGCUAAAUAGGUAUGUGAGUUCUGAAACUACUUUGAAACAGGCAAAAAAAUAAUUUGCUGCUAGUUUUCGUUUUGGUUAAUCUUUUUCAGGUCUAUUAAACUUAGAUAUGGAAGAAAAACUAUGGUCCUCGAGUUCUCAAAUCACUUGGAAUAAGUGCCACUAUUUACAAGGCUGGUUAUGAAGCAACAAGAAGCUGUACUUGUUUGAGCAUGUAGGUAAUGAAUGAUGUUGAGCUUGUCUCCAGGUCUUGUGCCUUUAAGAUUGUAUCUACUACUGCUAUUACACUUAGGAAAUAUUUAUAUACUUGUCAUUCUUUUGAUAC